CGGGAGGAGGACGCAGCCUCCCUGCUGCUGCCCGGAGCCCUUUCCCGGCGGCCCCGGAUCAUCCGACGCGUCCUGGGAGAGAGAGAGAGAAAGUGGCAGAGGAGGAGGAUGAGGAGGAGGAGGUGGUGAAGGAGAGAGGUAUACAGAUGAAAAUUCUCUCUGCGCCUCAUCUGAAAAUGUGCCGCUUCAAAGAAGCGCUGCGCUCAGUUGGACUGACUAAAACCAGCGGAGAGCUUUCGUCAGGUUAAACUCAUCUCAGCUUAGGAACUCAUGCAAAGUAUUUCACCGAACUUGCAUUUUAGCGAAGUUUCUCUCGCAGCCAGAGAAGCCUGGAGGGAAACCCGGGACCGGGCAGGUGCCUGUCAGGGGAGCUCCCACGAGCACCGAGCGGAGACGGCGACAAAAGGACGACGGUUUGGAGACGAAGCGGAAAAAUCAAAAAUAAAAUCCUAGAGGACAGAGGCGAGUUUCUGGCGCUUCUCCCUGUGACAGCGGCAGCGCCGGGCCGUUCCGCGGCCGGGCGGGGGGACGCGCCACCCGCCGCCACGGGGACGCCCCCGGCGGGUCGAUCCGCCGCCGCUGCUCGGCCGCCCGCGCACUCCCCGAGCCCCGCGGAAGCGCCACCCCACCAGCCCCCCUCGCCCUGCUCCCCCCAUGCCCACUCCGACCCGCCACUUCGCCCCGCGCCCCCCGCCGUCGGGGGUCCCGCCGCCUCGUCUCCCAGUGCCCGCCGCUGCCGGGAGUCGCGCGGAGCCGGGAAGAAGUUUGCCAAACUUUUAGGUUUUUUCUUGCCUUUUU